GACGAACGCUAGCGGCGCGCUUAACACAUGCAAGUCGAACGGAAAGGCCUGCUUUCCCUUGUGGAUUGCGGGUACUCGAGUGGCGAACGGGUGAGUAACACGUGAGUGAUCUGCCCCCAACUUGGGUAUAAGCCUGGGAAACUGGGUCUAAUUCCCGAUAGGACUGCAGGGUGGUGCCUGUGGUGGAAAACGAUUUUCUAGUGGUUGGGGAUGAGCUCGCGGCCUAUCAGCUUGUUGGUGGGGUAAUGACCUACCAAGGCGGCGACGGGGAGCCGGCCUGGGAGGGUGGACGGGCACAGUGGGACUGAGAUACCGCCCAGACGCCUACGGGAGGCAGCAGUGGGGAAUAUUGCACAAUGGGCGGAAGCCUGAUGCAGCGACGCCGCGGGGGGGAUGACGGCCUUCGGGUUGUAAACUCCUUUCGACCGCGAGGAAGCCACCUGGUUGGAAGGGUGGUGACGGUAGUGGUAGAAGAAGCACCGGCUAACUACGUG
rnacentral:rRNA from 1 species